rnacentral:rRNA from 1 species
GAGACUCUGUGCGCGUGCAUAUCAAUAAGCGGAGGAAAAGAAACUAACAAGGAUUCCCUUAGUAACGGCGAGUGAAGCGGGAAGAGCUCAAAUUUGAAAUCUUCAAGGUUCUACCUUGACGAAUUGUAGUUUAUAGAAGUGUUUUCUGUUAGUAGAGUGGCAAAAGUUCUUUGGAAUAGGACAUCAUAGAGGGUGAGAAUCCCGUAUUUGGUCAUUCUUUCUAGCUUUGUGAUACACUUUCAACGAGUCGGAUUGUUAGGGAAUGCAGUCCAAAAUGGGUGGUAAAUUUCAUCUAAAGCUAAAUAUUGGCGAGAGACCGAUAGCGAACAAGUACCGUGAGGGAAAGAUGAAAAGAACUUUGAAAAGAGAGUUAAACAGUACGUGAAAUUGUCAAAAGGGAAGCGUUUGACACCAGUGUUGUUUUUUCCGAAAAUCAAUUACGAAUGUUUUGUUUUUGAGGAGUUAUGACUUCAUCGGCUUGCUCCUUUCUUUACUGAAACUUUCUUAAUGCACUUUUCGGUUAACAAGUCAACAUCAAUUUCUUUUGUUGUAAAAGGGUAUGAGGAAGGUGGCUUUCUUUUCGGAGAAAGUGUUUAUAGCCUUGUGCCUCUGCAAUCGGAGAGAUUGAGGUCUGCAGCGUAGACCCUUCGGGGUUAGAUACGUUUGUGCUAAGUUAUAGCUUUUCAUAGACAACUUGUUGACUAUGUUUAGUCUUGUAGCUUACUCGCAUGCGCUAUUUUACCUACGCUUAGGAUGUUGAACUCUAUCACACACAG